rnacentral:rRNA from 1 species
AGGGUUCGAUUAUGGCUCAGGAUGAACGCUGGCGGCGUGCUUAACACAUGCAAGUCGAACGAACCUUCGGGUUAGUGGCGGACGGGUGAGUAACGCGUGAGAAUCUGCCCUCAGGAGGGGGAUAACGGUUGGAAACGACCGCUAAUACCCCAUAUGCCUAUUGGUGAAAUGAAUUUCGCCUGAGGAUGAGCUCGCGUCUGAUUAGCUAGUUGGUGAGGUAAUGGCUCACCAAGGCUUCGAUCAGUAGCUGGUCUGAGAGGAUGAUCAGCCACACUGGGACUGAGACACGGCCCAGACUCCUACGGGAGGCAGCAGUGGGGAAUUUUCCGCAAUGGGCGAAAGCCUGACGGAGCAACGCCGCGUGAGGGACGAAGGCCUCUGGGCUGUAAACCUCUUUUCUCAAGGAAGAAGAUAUGACGGUACUUGAGGAAUAAGCCACGGCUAAUUCCGUGCCAGCAGCCGCGGUAAUAC